AUACUCUAGUUUCUCUUCAUUUGCGUAUAAAUCUUUCGCCUUUUACUAAAGAUUUCCGUGGAGAGGAACAGCUUGAGUGUUAACUCAAUUUUUUGAGGCUUUGCUUUGGCAAGGCU
ensembl:snRNA U5 U5 spliceosomal RNA